UGCUACCACCACAACUAAAUACACCAUUUGAUAAAGAACACUAAAAUUAAGACUUACUACAACUGUAUAACUUCAUUUUUUGCUGAGGAAACUCAAGUUUCAUCAAAGUUCUAUGAUCUAAAUUACAAAGAAAUAAUUCGUGAUCACUCCACAGGGAAAGCAAAACUUCACACGUAACCACAAGUAACACAACAAUAUCAGGCUAAAAGCAAACUAAAAGGAACACGCAAUAUUACAAAUAGAAAUCACAAAAUAGAAAAAAAUUCAUAGCGAAUAAUCUCAUUUCUCAAACUAGUAAUAAAAAUUUCCUUGGAAGAACUGAUGUCCUUCUCUCAGCCAACCAACAUACAUAUGGUAAAACACAAAUGAAUUUCUGCAAAGUUGCAAUACAUAAAAUUAAAAGAAGACUUUCUCUCUCUAUCUCUAAAAUGGCUCCUGAUGUACGAUAGCUAACGUGCACCUCGGAGGUCUGACCAUGGCAAGAGGUCGGGAAAGAGGAAGGGGAAGGGGUCGAACGACAACCAAAACCACUAGUAGCAUUUGGAAGCUCAGUAGGGAAGGUAGGAACUCCACAAUGGCUCAGUUGAGCCAAAGUGGACAACCAAGUAGGACAGCUGAAAUUGAUGAGUCUCCAAAGAUUAUUCGAUCGUUGGGAAAGUUAGAUCUCACUUCACCCCACCUGAGGGGAAAGAAGGUGGGAACAAGGUCACCCCCAAGGAAAUAGUGGCUAGCCCUAAAAUUGCAGCACCAUCGAUAGGGCAACGAGAUUCAGAGUCGGCGAAACCUGUUGACAAAGGGAAAUAACAGAUCUGCUGAUAAUGGUAUGACCCUGACCUAUAUUCCACCCCAAAUCAUAGAAGGACAUCCUGUGGUUCAAUUGGAGAAGGAAGAGGUGGAUGAAGAGACUUUAAAAUGGAAGAGUGCGCUUAUAGCCUAUUUUAUCGGAGAGGUACCAGGUUAUAACACCAUGAGAAGGUUCAUUCGACAAAAUUAGAUGGCUACUGAACGUGAACUAUAUCUCCAUGAAGAGGGGUAUUAUGUGAUUAAGUUCCAGACAAUAGAGGAUCUGAAUGAGGUGUUCUAUGCUGGACCCUAUUCAAUUAAUAAUAGACCGAUCUUACUAAAAGCUUGGACGCCGGACUUUGACUUUAAUGUGGAAUUCCCUACAGAAAUUCCACUUUGGGUCAAGUUUCCAAACCUUCGAUGUAUUACAGGGGUAGCAAUUCUUUGAGCCGAAUUGUAAGCGCUAUCGGAACCCCAAUUUUCACUGAUGAAUGCACUACGUAAUAAACACGUAUCUCCAAUGGGAGAAUGCUUAUCGAGGUCAACGUUACUAGGACUCUCCCUGAGGACGUGAUUGUGAUGGAUCCUAAUGGUCGUCAAUUUACCCAAAAGGUGGUGUUUGACUGGAAACCAGAGUUUUGCCAACAAUGUCAAGUUGUUGGGCAUCAAUCUCCACCUCCCCAGCAAAAAGGAAAUAAUCAGCAACACAAACGUAGAGCACCAAGGCAGGUCACUAUGGAGUGGCAGACUAAGGGGGUUGUUGCUCCUGUGGAGCGGAGUAAACCUGGAACUAAUGGCAAAAUAGGUGAGGGUACCAACAGGCAAAUUGACCGUGAGUCUGUUCAGCCAGCUGGUGUGGUGUCUCCUAAGGGUUCAUUGGAUGUUCAACGUUUGAAAGGAAAUCGAGAAGAGGUUGGUACAUCUGUGUCAAAUACAGGAAAGAUUCCCCAAAAAUCUGAGUUGAAUUUAGCAGAUUUCCCUGUUCUCUCCUCACCUGAAAACUCUGGAAAUACGAAUCAACGACUUUGGAAUCAUGGGCAUCCCAAAACCCCCGAUAAGGGGGAGACACUAAAUAAUCAUGAUGAAUUGGUUAGUGUGGAAUGUAAGGGGUAUCAGUAAAUCGUAUAAACAAAAAGAGUUAAGAAGUUACUUCUGAAUAAAGAAGAUUAGAUUUGUUGGGCUAGUAGAAAACAAAAUUAAAUCUUCUAAAGCUAGAGCAAUUCUGGAUCAUAUGGCACAUGAUUGGGAAAUGGAAUCUAACUAUCAGAAAGCCGUGAAUGGAAGUAUAUGGGUAAUGUGGGAUCCGAAUUGGUUUGAAGUUUCUUUCCAUUAUGUUGAUGCUCAAUUCAUUCAUUGUCAUGUGAAUGAGCGACAAGGGGAUCUUAACUGUUUUGUCACAGUAGUGUAUGGAUAUAAUGAGAUUGAACACAGACAAUCCUCGUGGCAAGAACUCCAACAUAUUGCAAUUGGGAUCUCUAUUCCGUGGCUAAUCAUUGGUGAUUUUAAUGCAAUGUUAACUCUACAAGAUAGGCCUUUGGGAAUCCGAUUACUUAUGCUGAAACUAGAGCUUAUAAUGAGUGCAUUACAGGGCUUCUUUUAACUGAGUUGCAGUAGAGUGGAGCCUACUAUAAGUGGUCCAACAAGCAGAUUGGUGUUGAUAGAAUUUAUAGUAGGUUGGAUAGGGCGUUUGGGAAUCACGAGUGGAUGAAUCAAUGGGGUCAUGUGACUACGACAUAUGGUGUUCCUUUUAUUUCAGAUCAUGCCCUGAUGACAUUGUCACUAAAACCUAUGUCUGAGAUUCUAAAUGUUCCAUUUAGGUUCUUCAAUGUCUGGAAUGGACACUCAGAUUUCCUCUUUAUAGUGGAGCGAGCCUGGCAACAGAAGUUGGAUAGUGUAGCUAUGAAGAAUAUUUGGCUGAAGCUUAAAGAUCUCAAGCCCAAAUUGAAAAGCCUAAAUAAUACAGAGUUCAGAAAUAUGAGCCAAAAAAUUUUCCUAGCCAGAUAGGAACUCCAGAUAACUCAAGAACAGAUUAAUACUCAGUGUACUGACCAAUUGCUGUAAAAAGAGAAACAACUUCUCGUUAAUUUGGAGAAAUAGUCACUAGUAGAAGAAAGCACAAUAAGGCAGAAAGCUAGAGCUAAAUGGAUAAAACUUGGUGAUGCUAACACCAAGUAUUUUUCUUCUAUGGUGAAAGAUAGAACACAAAAGAAACAAAUAAUGCAUCUAUCUUCAUUAAUUUGCACUGAGCUUGCAAUGUCGAUAAAGGAUGAAAUAACUGCUUUUUACAAAUCUCUUAUGGGUUCAGCUGCCUCUUUUUUAGCUACAGUACAUAAAAGCACCAUGAAAAGAGGUCCUACUCUCUCUCAGCAGCAAAGGAAAGACUUGUGUUCCAUUGUAAUCGAUCAGGAGGUCUGGAAUGGACUACAAGCUAUAGAUGAGGAAAAAACACCAGGUAUUAAUGGGUUUAACUCUCACUUUUUAAAAAAGGCAUGUCGUAUUCUUAAAGAGGAGGUUAUGUUUGUUGUUAAACAAUUUUUUGUGACUGGAAAAAUGUAUGGAGCUAUUAAUUGUACUAUGAUCACUCUAGUACCUAAGAAGCCUAAUCUAGCAACAGUGAAAGAAUUUUGUCCAAUUGCAUGUUGCACAAUGUUAUACAAAAUCAUUGCCAAAAUCCUUUCUUCCACAAUUCAGAACGUUUUUGCUAGUGUGAUAUGUGAAGCAUAGGCAGGGUUCAUUCCGGGUAGGAAAAUUGUUGACUAUAUUAUCCUUGCCCAUGAGCUUGUGAAAGAUUAUGGUAGAAAACAGAUCUCUCCGAGAUGCAUGAUAAAAAUUGACCUCCAAAAGGCCUACGACUCUGUAGAGUGGACGUAUUUAAAGCAAAUUAUGUUGGAACUCAAUUUUCCUGAUAGAUUUACCUCUUGGAUUAUGACUUAUGUUCAAACGGUUAACUACACAGUGAUGGUGAAUGGCGAAACAACAGAGCCAUUUGAUACUGCUAAAGGCUUGAGACAAGGUGACCCAAUCUCACCUUACCUGUUUGCAAUGGCUAUGGAGUAUCUAAGUAAGAGACUUCAUGAACUCAGGGAUAAUAAGUCUUUCCAGUUCCACCCCAGAUAUGCUAAUUUGGGAGUUACGCAUUUGAGCUUUGCAGACGAUCUCCUUCUCUUCUCAAUAGGAGAUCUCCCCUCCAUUUCUGCCCUGUAGCAAGCCUUCAAGCAAUUUUCAGAAGCCUCCGAUCUUCAAGCAAAUUUGGAGAAGAGUUCCAUGUAUUUUGGGGUUGUUACUCAGCAGGCAAAAACUACCAAUGUGCAGCAGAUUGGUAUACCCAAUGGUGAACUUCCAUUUAAAUACCUUGGGGUUCCUCUCUCAACUAGGAAGAUAUCUUUUAUCCAAUGGCAGCCUUUGAUAGAGAAGAUAGUGUCAAGAAUUACUUCCUGGACUGCAAAAAAACUAUCUUCUGCUGGCCGAACUCAGCUUGUGCAAUCUGUGUUAUUUGGUGUACAAUCAUAUUGGUCACAGUUAUUUCAAAUGCCAGUAAAGGUCCUCAAAUUGAUUAAUGCUUAUUGUAGAAGCUUUAUUUGGUCUAAACUAAUACCAUUACCAAGAAAGCCCUUGUGGCAUGGGAGAGAGUCUUCUUGCCUAGAUGUAAUGGGGGCCUAAACAUCAUUAAUAUCAUGUUAUGGAACAGAGCUGCCCAGGCAAAAGCUUUUUGGGAUUUAUCUCACAAAACAGAUAGUUUAUGGAUCAAAUGGAUCCGUGAGUUCUAUCUCAAAGAUCAGCAAUUUGACACCGUUGAGAUCCCUUAGCAAGCUUGCUGGAUAAUAAGAAAGAUAUGGGAGGCAAGGCAAGUAUGGGCAUAAGUCUAGAUUUCUCAUAGAAGUGGUAGCAUUAUCGAGGAGAUAUAUUCUCAGCUACUACCUGUACACCCCAGAGUGCCUUGGAAAGGUGUUAUAUACAAGAAUGAAGCCUGACCAAAAACAAAGUUCAUUCUAUGGCUAAAGUUACAGGGGAAGUUACUAACUACUGAUAAGUUGGCCAAAUGGGGAAUGCCGGUUGAUUUGGAAUGUGUGCUUUGUCACAAAUAUCCUGAGUCAAGAGAUCACUUAUUUCUAAGCUGUGAAUUUUCAGCCCUGAUAUGGACUAGAAUUCUUAUGUGGAUGCAUUUACAACAAUCAGGUGCUACUACUUAGGAACAGAACUUGGUGUGGAUUCUUCAGCAAUCUAAAGGUCGAACAGCGCAAGCUCACCUUUUCAGAACAAACUAUGCGGACUAUGUGUAUGCUAAAUGUAUGGAAAGAAGCCAACGGAUGUUUGAAAAGAAAACCAGAGAUUGGGGCAGCAUCGUAAGGGAGAGUCCAACACCUAGAAAAUCAAGACGUGAUCACCUCAAGGACACAGGGGCAUGCAUGGAGGACCCAUUUUGAGUAUAAACAAGGCCAUGAGUGGAAGAUUGCUUGGAGCAUUGAAGACUUGAGGACUCAUGGAUUUGGAUAACACUUAAAGGCUCACGGUUUGGCCACCUCAUUAAGGGCAUUUUGGUCACUUUACUUGGCCAAAAUGCACUCCAUGGCCACUCCGCCCAUUAAGGGUAUUGUUGUCAUUUUUGUCUUGUCUUGUAAUAAUAUAAGUAGAACAUUUUAGGUCUUUUCUCAUUAGUUUAUGAAUGAUGAAAUAUUGAAACAUUGAAAGUUCUCUCUUUGAUAGAAGAACACCUUAGUUUAGUCUUAGUUAGGGCUUUGAAUAGCCAUUAUAAUUUAGGGCUUGGAAAAGCUAUUAUAUUGACCUUUGCUUGGAAAUGGUGGAUCUUGAGGUGUGUUGGUUCCCUUGGCGGUCAUCGUAAGAGUGUGGUGUUGAUUAUUACAUUUAUUAGGGGUUAGAGUGUUGAAAUACACUUGAUUCUUAAUCUUGCAAUAAUCUUUGUCUCA